UACGUAGGGUGCAAGCGUUGCUCGGAAUCACUGGGCGUAAAGCGACCGCAGGCGGUCUGACAAGUCGGAUGUGAAAGCCCUGGGCUCAACUCAGGAACUGCAUUCGAAACUGGCAGACUCGAGUACGGGAGAGGGGGGUGGAAUUCCUGGUGUAGGGGUGAAAUUCGUUGAUAUCAGGAGGAACACCGGCGGCGAAGGCGGCCCCCUGGCCCGCAACUGACGCUCAUGGUCGAAAGCGUGGGGAGCAAACAGG
rnacentral:rRNA from 1 species